CGGCGAGUGGCGAACGGGUGAGUAAUACAUCGGAACGUGUCCUGUAGUGGGGGAUAGCCCGGCGAAAGCCGGAUUAAUACCGCAUACGAUCUACGGAUGAAAGCGGGGGAUCGCAAGACCUCGCGCUAUAGGGGCGGCCGAUGGCGGAUUAGCUAGUUGGUGGGGUAAAGGCCCACCAAGGCGACGAUCCGUAGCUGGUCUGAGAGGACGACCAGCCACACUGGGACUGAGACACGGCCCAGACUCCUACGGGAGGCAGCAGUGGGGAAUUUUGGACAAUGGGCGCAAGCCUGAUCCAGCAAUGCCGCGUGUGUGAAGAAGGCCUUCGGGUUGUAAAGCACUUUUGUCCGGAAAGAAAUCCUCUGGGUUAAUACCCCGGGGGGAUGACGGUACCGGAAGAAUAAGCACCGGCUAACUACGUGCCAGCAGCCGCGGUAAUACGUAGGGUGCGAGCG
rnacentral:rRNA from 1 species